rnacentral:rRNA from 1 species
CCUACGGGAGGCUGCAGUGGGGAAUAUUGGACAAUGGGGGGAACCCUGAUCCAGUCAUGCCGCGUGUGUGAAGAAGGCCCUCGGGUUGUAAAGCACUUUCAGUGAGGAAGAACGCCUGGUGGUUAAUACCCAUCAGGAAAGACAUCACUCACAGAAGAAGCACCGGCUAACUCCGUGCCAGCAGCCGCGGUAAUACGGAGGGUGCGAGCGUUAAUCGGAAUUACUGGGCGUAAAGCGCGCGUAGGUGGCUUGAUAAGCCGGUUGUGAAAGCCCCGGGCUCAACCUGGGAACGGCAUCCGGAACUGUCAAGCUAGAGUGCAGGAGAGGAAGGUAGAAUUCCCGGUGUAGCGGUGAAAUGCGUAGAGAUCGGGAGGAAUACCAGUGGCGAAGGCGGCCUUCUGGACUGACACUGACACUGAGGUGCGAAAGCGUGGGUAGCAAACAGGAUUAGAUACCCCUGUAGUC